GACGAACGCUGGCGGCGUGCUUAACACAUGCAAGUCGAACGCUGAAGCUCAGCUUUUGUUGGGUGGAUGAGUGGCGAACGGGUGAGUAACACGUGAGUAACCUGCCCCCUUCUUUGGGAUAACGCCCGGAAACGGGUGCUAAUACUGGAUAUUCACUGGUCUUCGCAUGGGGGUUGGUGGGAAGGGUUUUUCUGGUGGGGGAUGGGCUCGCGGCCUAUCAGCUUGUUGGUGGGGUGAUGGCCUACCAAGGCUUUGACGGGUAGCCGGCCUGAGAGGGUGACCGGUCACAUUGGGACUGAGAUACGGCCCAGACUCCUACGGGAGGCAGCAGUGGGGAAUAUUGCACAAUGGGCGCAAGCCUGAUGCAGCGACGCCGCGUGAGGGAUGGAGGCCUUCGGGUUGUGAACCUCUUUCGCUCAUGGUCAAGCCGCAACAAUGGUUGUGGUGAGGGUAGUGGGUAAAGAAGCGCCGGCUAACUACGUG
rnacentral:rRNA from 1 species